rnacentral:rRNA from 1 species
GAUGAACGCUGGCGGCGUGCCUAAUACAUGCAAGUCGAGCGAACAGACGAGGAGCUUGCUCCUCUGACGUUAGCGGCGGACGGGUGAGUAACACGUGGAUAACCUCCCUAUAAGACUGGGAUAACUUCGGGAAACCGGCGCUAAUACCGGAUAAUAUAUUGCACCGCAUGGGUCAAUAGUGAAAGACGGCUUUGCUGUCACUUCUAGAUGGAUCCGCGCCGCAUUAGCUAGUUGGUAAGGUAACGGCUUACCAAGGCAACGAUGCGUAGCCGACCUGAGAGGGUGGUCGGCGACAUGGGAGCGGAGACACGGUCCAGACUCCUACGGGAGGCAGCAGUAGGGAAUCUUCCGCAAUGGGCGAAAGCUUGACGGAGCAACGGCGAGUGAGUGAUGAAGGUGUGCGGAUCGUAAAACUCUGUUAUUAGGGAAGAACAAAUGUGGAAGGAGCUGUGCACGUCGUGACGGUACCGGAUCAGAAAGCCACGGCUAACUACGUG